GGGGCCGACUUGGCUUCGACGUGGGUUGCAAAGCAGACAGGUGCAUACCGAGGACCAGUUACCUCGUAAAUCAACUGGAAAAUAUUAGUCGCCAACGACGAAACUUACGCUCUGGCCGCUUGACGGUCAGACUCCACACCGGUAGGUCCAUGGGCCGGGCUGGGCAACCAGCGGUGGAGUCAUUAACAUGGACUCGCGCGGAUUCGGGCUACUUGAAUCAGCGUCAAACUUAGGUGGCUCGCCUGAACCCAGCCUGUUCGGCCGGCGUGGUUCGGGUUAAAACCAAAUGACCGGAAUAAGUAUGUAGAUCUUGCUGUAGAGGACUUGCGGACGCGGGUUCGAUUCCCGCCGGCUCCACCA
rnacentral:tmRNA from 1 species